GGGGCUGUGGCUCAGUGGUUCAGCAACUGCUUGGUAUGCAGAAGGUCCCAAGUUCAAUCCCCAGCAACUCCA
rnacentral:tRNA from 1 species